rnacentral:rRNA from 1 species
UACGAAGGGGCUAGCGUUGCUCGGAAUUACUGGGCGUAAAGGGCGCGUAGGCGGAUGUUUAAGUCGGGGGUGAAAGCCCGGGGCUCAACCUCGGAAUUGCCUUCGAUACUGGACAUCUUGAGUACGGGAGAGGUGAGUGGAACUCCGAGUGUAGAGGUGAAAUUCGUAGAUAUUCGCAAGAACACCAGUGGCGAAGGCGGCUCACUGGCCCGAUACUGACGCUGAGGCACGAAAGCGUGGGGAGCAAACAGG